UACAGAGGAGCCAAGCGUUUGUCCGGAUUGACUGGGCGUAAAGCGCACGCCAGGCGGGGGUGCGCGUGGGGUGUGAAAUCUGGCCGCUUAACGGCCAGGCGCAUCCCAUACGGCACGCCUGGAGCCUUGCAGAGGUCGGUGGAAUUGCCGGUGAGUGGUGAAAUGCGUAGAGAUCGGCAGGAACACCCAGGGGGAAACCAGCCGACUGGGCAAGUGC
rnacentral:rRNA from 1 species